AAGACCUUGCGCUUUUGGAGCGGCCGAUGCCUGAUUAGCUUGUUGGUAAGGUAAAAGCUUACCAAGGCUUCGAUCAGUAGCUGGUCUGAGAGGACGGCCAGCCACACUGGGACUGAGACACGGCCCAGACUCCUACGGGAGGCAGCAGUGGGGAAUUUUGGACAAUGGGGCAACCCUGAUCCAGCCAUGCCGCGUGAGUGAAGAAGGCCUUCGGGUUGUAAAGCUCUUUCAGCCGGAACGAAACGGUUACGGUUAAUACCCGUGAUUACUGACGGUACCGGAAGAAGAAGCACCGGCUAACUACGUGCCAGCAGCCGCGGUAAUACGUAGGGUGCGAGCGUUAAUCGGAAUUACUGGGCGUAAAGCGUGCGCAGGUGGUUUUGUAAGUCAGAUGUGAAAGCCCCGGGCUCAACCUGGGAACU
rnacentral:rRNA from 1 species